GGCACGCGGUCGCUGCGUCAUGUCCGGCGCGGUCGGCGUGCACUUCUCCCCUAGUAGGACGUCGCGACCCGUUGGGUGUCGACCUACGGCCCGCGAGGUAGACUGGGGCGCCGCGCGUUAAUAGCGCGCGCGCGUCUCAGACCCGCGUGCGCCCGGCUCGACUGCCCGGCGGUAAAGAUCGCUUAUAAUCGAUAAUGGUAUGGGGUCGCACGCUCAUGUUAAAUUUGCGAUGCGUUUUUCGGCCCGUCGUUGAGGCUGGCCUCGCUCGGCGUUUACGGACCUGGUGCCGUUGCCGGGCGUUUAUGGUUGGCUCUCGUUCGACGGUGUCCUCGAACGGGCCCUGCUUUAAAACAUACCCGUCGGCGACGCUACUGCUUUGGGUACUUUCAGGACCCGUCUUGAAACACGGACCAAGGA
rnacentral:rRNA from 1 species